UCUGGGCAAGAUGCCAGAAUUCUACCAAUUCCAAGCCUACUCUCAAUUCCAGAGGACCAAUGAUAAAUCAGGCUUCUCAUGUCUGCUUUAGCAAAAAAGUCACAGAGAUGUACAAGCUUAGACAUAUAGUCAGUCAACCAACGUUUAUGAAGUGUUAAGCCUCGGGGAUACACAUAAAUGCUAAAGGAGAAGUGGGAGAGGAGAAUGCUAUUAUUUUCCAGUUCUCCCAAUGAAAGUACACUCAUGAAAAGAUGCAGGGGCCAAUGUGGGAAGCAUCUUUGGUCAAGAUCAAUAGUGGGACAGAUUGUUUUGUCAUCUGAGUAGUUGAAGAGUGGUAGGAGCAUAUAUUCGAAUGGGAAAAACAUGUCAAUACCUAGAUACAAAAUAUAGACAGAGUAAAUAGAAAAUCAUUUCAGAGGUGGGUUGUUUGUGCUUCAUUCUCGAAGAGGACCAUGACAGCAGGAAGGGGAUUCCAUGACAUGCAAAUGAAUUUAAGGGAUUUAAGGGAGGGAGGGCUGUUCAAGGUCUCCGAACUCAUGUUCUUCUCCAGAGCCACAUGGAGCCAGUGGCAAGAUAUAAAUCGGACGACUAGAGAUAACACUGGAUAUCUUAGAGAUAGAGGGAGAAGAUGGAAUAAUUGAGAAAACAACAGACUGCUGCGGCUGGGUGGAGGGUGUGUAGAGGGGACUUUUGGGAAGAACUAUGGGAAUCCGCUUUGCUGACCAUUACUUUCAGAUACAGGUCAGAUAGUCACCCUUUUCUCUUUAUGCAAAUAUUUCUGGUCAGCUGGUAGGGUGUGAUGAGUAGUGUGAGUGUUUUGGGAACUUUAAUUAAAUCUGAAAUGCUCUAACCCCAUCACUCUAGGCAACUGGACCUUCUUAUGGCCUUAGGUAACCAGGAAGAGAUGUCAAAUAAGCUCCCAGUUGGGAGCUCCCAGGAACUUGCCUCAUAGGAAGGGCAGUUCAAAUCAAGCAAGAGUGUCAUCUUUUAGGAACAGGAAUAAAAUCUCUUUUCCUCCCCCCAAAGGCAACUGGAAUUAAGUGGCUUGCCUAGGAUCACACAGCUAGUAAGUGUUAAGUGUCUGAGGCCAGAUUUGAACCCAGGUCUUCCUGACCCCAGGGCUGGCGCUCUAUCCACUGAGCCACCUAGCUGUCCCAGUGUCAUCUUUUAAGGAAAAACUAGUCUUGUCCAUGUGGGCUGGGGGUGGGGAGAACUCUGGGAGAUAUCAAUCAGUCUUGGUACAUUUCAUCCCAAUGGUGACAAGUUCCCAGCACUCUUCAAGUCAAGUAAUCAUAUACAAGGACUGCUGUGGGCUUCAUAUCGACUUAGUUCUAUUCAAUCAUUCAUUUAUUCAUUCAUUCACUUAUUUAUUCAUUUGUUUGUUUUAGUUUUUUACUUACAAGACAUAUGCAUGGGUAAUUUUUCAGCAUUGACCCAUGCAAAACCUUCUGUUCCAAUUUUUCCCCUCCUUCCCCCCCACCUCCUCCACAAGAUGGCAGGUAGACCAAUACAUGUUAAAUAAGUUAAAGUAUACGUUAAAUACAAUAUAUGUAUACAUAUUUAUGCAGUUAUCUUGCUGCACAAGAAAAACCCGAUUUAGAAAUAAGGUAAAAAUAAUCUGAGAUGGAAAACAAAAAUGCAAGCAGACAAUAACAGAAGGCAUGGAAAUGCUAUAUUGUGGUCCACACUCUUUCCCCAUAGUUCUUUCACAGGAUGUAGCUGGUUCUCUUCAUUACUGAACAAUUGGAACUGAUUUGGUUCAUCUCAUUUUUGAAGAGAGCCACUUGACUUAAUUUUAAAAUGCAAUGUUAUCUAUGGUUUAUUGUAUUUUAUUUAUUUUGCUAAAUAUUUCCCAAUUAUAUCUUAAUCAGGUUCUAUCCCUGAGGCCCCAUAUUUGAACAGCCCUAUUCUAGAGACCCUUUCAUCAUGUAAAUGCUUUUAGGACAUUUAGGCAGCUAGCGGCACCAUAAUGCAUAGAGCAUUCUGCCUGGAGUUAGGAAGACUCAUCUUCCUGAGUUCAAAUGUGGCUUCAGAUACGAACUAUGUGACCCUUUUUGACUCAGUUUCCUCUCUGGAAAAUAAGCAACCACUCUAGUAGCUUUGUGAAGAAAACUCCAAAUGGAGCCAUAAAGAUCUGGGAGAAAUUGGCAGACAGAUCAUUGUUGAAUCCAUGGGAAUUGAUCUCAGUAUGAGAAUAUACAAGGAGAAAAGUAGAAGGCCCAGGGACUGAAAAAUGACCGAACAAUUACACUAAUAACAAAGGGCAUUUGCUAGACAAUCCUCCUGGCACAGGCAAUGCUAAGGAGAUAAAGAAAAAGAAAAAAAAUUACGGGUACCAUUCAUCCCAGGAGUCACCAAAAUUAAAAAGAAAAAUGCAAAGGGCAAAUGUGCCAAAUUUAGGUUUUUCUUUCUCCCUUAGAAGGCUUAAAUCUCAGAUCUUGCCAAUUGGGUUCAUAUGAUAGGUGGUGCUGAGAAUUCCCCAUUCACAUUGGGUCUCCUGAUGGUGAUAGGGGAGCCUGUGCAGGGCCACCACAUAAGUGAGCCUCUCCUGCCACAACAAUUACUUCUUCAGUACCUGUUGUCUGUAGUAAAGUGUCUAAAAGAUCAUAUAAGUCUCACACACAAGUUAUCCUGGAUUCUAAGCUGAUAUUGAGGCUUUCCCUGGACCUCCUUUCAGUACUUCCUGUAUCACCAACCCAAACCUCCACCUCCUUUGGAAUCACAUUAGAGGUAGAAUGCAAUGCCCCAUUUUUGCCCCCUUGGGAGCUUAUGUGGAGAAUCCAGUGGGAAAUUCUUUCUUUGGGGUCCACCCUGAGCCUCAGAAUUAUAACAUAAAGUCAGCAGGAGCUCACAGGUAACAGGCUCAUUGCCUGCUGGCAAAAUUCUAGCAGAAGCAGAUUAAACUGUAAUUAGAAAAUGUUUAACAAAAUAAAUCAAAAUAUGAUGCAACAUCAUAGUGUUGAUGCUAGUUUUCCAGGGGAGUAUGGAAUUCAAAGCUUCUUUCUUCCAAGUAAAUGCUCAUUUACUAUAGGAAGAGUUUCCCUCCUGGGCUGUUCCUCCAAACAUUUUCUGGGAAAGGGUUUUCCAAUCCAUCUUAGAGGACAAAAGGAAACCCCAUGUAAUUUCUCCAGAGCUCCUGUAAUGGGCAAGGAUCUUAUGACCUACAUCACUAAGUCCAGGAAGGGAGAAGCAAGGGCAUUGAGGGUCUGUUGGCCCUAUGUCCAGAAGUCACAAAUUACAUGUGACUGUUUGGAGAGUUUUGAAGGUUUAUACCUUGUUGCUGAUCUUGAAUCUAAUUUGGAUGAGUCCCACCAUCUGCUGUCUAUCUUUGUCUUACUCAGGUGCUGCUGAAUGGAAUUGGAGAAAAUCAUGGAACUAUGCUGACUGGAGAGAUGCCAUUAAAUACAAAGAAGCUCUAAAAUAAGUUGUUAAAAGCCAAAGAGAUGACCAGAAAAAAGACUGAAGCAAGAGAAGCAGCUGAAUAUAAGGAUUUGGUGACAAAAGAUAUUGAAGGCCAUGGGAGAAGUUAUUUAGAAUACAGUUACUUAGACUACCAGAGCUGAUAAGAACUGAACUGUUAAGUUGACUCUGAAGCUAUUUUGCUGAGAGUCAUGAUGAUUGGAAGAAAUUUGCUGAGAGCUGACUGAGAGAAGAAAGACUUUAUUAACAGAGAGAGGACUGAAGUCAACUUAGUUUGGCAACUUCUGGAAGCUGAUUGGAGAAAAACAGGGUCUUCUGUUUAUUUGAAGAGCCCUCUAGCUUUAUUUUAUUGCUUUCAACAACCUGAGAAGGAGAAACUUCUCUGGGAGUGACUACAUUACCUUUCAUUGCUAUCUAUAAUCAAAGAAAGGUAAAGGAGAAAAACAGGCUUUGCACCUCUUUUGAGCUAUGCUGAUACAUUUUGCCAAAAGAGUAUAACCCUUUCUCAGCACCCUGCAAACGAUGAUCGUGUGUUUGUUAAAAGAGCUUGCCUCAGUAGCCUGAGAUUAUUCAAGAAAUCAUUACGUCCAAAAAGUGAUGCUUAGUGAAAACUGUUCUAUAACAUGACCAAGGACAUCAAAAUUUGUCAGUCAGGGUCAUCUCAGGCAUGUUGUUUUCCCUAUUCAUGUGCCUUUCUGCUGUUUCAUAAAUAUAUGCCCAUUAUCCCCUCUAGAUACUGUGCGCUUCCAUAAGAGAGUUUGAUUCAGGUUUAUGGACAUACAAUUAUAGUUUUAUUUUGGCUUUUGCCUUCUAAACAAUAAUAAAUAUUAGAAUAAAUAGAUUAAAUAUUAUAAUAAAUAAUACGUUAUUUUUCAACUUGCUUUAUUAAGCAAAUAUUUUAUGUUUAAGAAACAGUGGUGUCUCUUUGAGAAAGGGAUGAGGAGGGAUGAAGGGGGAAAUUUGGUCAAUGUGAAAACCAAAGAUAACAAUAAAAAUUUAUUUAAAAUAA